rnacentral:rRNA from 1 species
CCAAUAGCGUAUAUUAAAGUUGUUGCAGUUAAAAAGCUCGUAGUUGAAUUUCGGGAUCAGUUGGUCGGUCGUGCCUCGGUACGUACUGGUCAAAUUGAUUCCUACCUUCUGACGAACCACGAUGUCAUUAAUUUGGUGUCGCGGGAAAUCAGGACUGUUACUUUGAAAAAAUUAGAGGGUUUAAAGCAGGCUCGCGCUUGAAUACAUUAGCAUGGAAUAAUGAAAUAGGACGUUUGAUUCUAUUUUGUUGGUUUCUAGGAUCGACGUAAUGAUUAAUAGGGAUAGUUGGGGGCAUUAGUAUUCAAUUGUCAGAGGUGAAAUUCUUGGAUUUAUUGAAGACUAACUACUGCGAAAGCAUUUGCCAAGGAUGUUUUCAUUAAUCAAGAACGAAGGUUAGGGGAUCGAAGACGAUCAGAUACCGUCGUAGUCUUAACCAUAAACUAUGCCGACUAGGGAUCGGAUGAUGUUAAUUUUUUAAUGACUCAUUCGGCGCCUUACG